GACAGGGGAUGCAAGUGUUAUCCGGAAUUAUUGGGCGUAAAGGGUUCUAGGUGGAUAAGUUAGUCUUUUAUUAAAUCUUUGAUUUAAAUGCAAUAAAAAUAAAAGAAACUACUUAUCUUGAGUAUGGAAGAGGUAAAAGGGAACUUUCAGUGGAGCGGUUAAAUGGUGUAGAUAUUGAAAGGAAGACCAAAGGCGAAAGCGAUUUUACUGGUACAAUACUGACACUAAAGAACGAAAGCUAAGGGAGCAAAUGGG
rnacentral:rRNA from 1 species